rnacentral:rRNA from 1 species
AGUGAACGCUGGCGGUAGGCCUAACACAUGCAAGUCGAACGGCAGCACAGUAAGAGCUUGCUCUUACGGGUGGCGAGUGGCGGACGGGUGAGGAAUACAUCGGAAUCUACUUUUUCGUGGGGGAUAACGUAGGGAAACUUACGCUAAUACCGCAUACGACCUACGGGUGAAAGCAGGGGAUCUUCGGGCCUUGCGCGAUUGAAUGAGCCGAUGUCGGAUUAGCUAGUUGGCGGGGUAAAGGCCCACCAAGGCGACGAUCCGUAGCUGGUCUGAGAAGAUGAUCAGCCACACUGGAACUGAGACACGGUCCAGACUCCUACGGGAGGCAGCAGUGGGGAAUAUUGGACAAUGGGCGCAAGCCUGAUCCAGCCAUACCGCGUGGGUGAAGAAGGCCUUCGGGUUGUAAAGCCCUUUUGUUGGGAAAGAAAAGCAGCAGGUUAAUACCCCGCUGUUCUGACGGUACCCAAAGAAUAAGCACCGGCUAACUUCGUG